UUGACCUCGGAUCAGGUAGGAAUACCCGCUGAACUUAAGCAUAUCAAUAAGCGGAGGAAAAGAAACCAACAGGGAUUGCCUCAGUAACGGCGAGUGAAGCGGCAACAGCUCAAAUUUGAAAUCUGGCCUCGGCCCGAGUUGUAAUUUGCAGAGGAUGCUUCGGGUGCGGUGCCUUCCAAGUCCCCUGGAACGGGGCGCCAGAGAGGGUGAGAGCCCCGUCCGGUCGGCCGCCAAGCCUGUGUGAAGCUCCUUCGACGAGUCGAGUAGUUUGGGAAUGCUGCUCUAAACGGGAGGUAGACCCCUUCUAAAGCUAAAUACCGGCCAGAGACCGAUAGCGCACAAGUAGAGUGAUCGAAAGAUGAAAAGCACUUUGAAAAGAGGGUUAAACAGUACGUGAAAUUGUUGAAAGGGAAGCGCUUGUGACCAGACGUGCGGCGGGUGCUCAGCAGGCGUUCUCGCCUGUGCACUCGCCCGCCGCAGGCCAGCGUCGGUUCGGGAGGGGGGACAAAGGCGCCGGGAACGUAUCUCCCUCGGGAGUGUUAUAGCCCGGCGUGUCAUGCCCCCGCCCGGACCGAGGUUCGCGUUCGCAAGGACGCUGGCGUAAUGGUCCCCAGCGGCCCGUCUUGAAACACGGACCAAGGAGUCGAGGUUUUGCGCGAGUGUUUGGGUGUCAAACCCGCACGCGUAAUGAAAGUGAACGUAGGUGGGAGCUUCGGCGCACCACCGACCGAUCCUGAUGUUUUCGGAUGGAUUUGAGUAGGAGCGUAGGGCCUCGGACCCGAAAGAUGGUGAACUAUACGUGGAUAGGGUGAAGCCAGAGGAAACUCUGGUGGAGGCUCGCAGCGGUUCUGACGUGCAAAUCGAUCGUCAAAUCUGCGUAUGGGGGCGAAAGACUAAUCGAACCAUCUAGUAGCUGGUUACCGCCGAAGUUUCCCUCAGGAUAGCAGUGUUGAUUCUCAGUUUUAUGAGGUAAAGCGAAUGAUUAGGGACUCGGGGGCGCUUUUUAGCCUUCAUCCAUUCUCAAACUUUAAAUAUGUAAGAAGCCCUUGUUGCUUAGUUGAACGUGGGCCUUCGAAUGCAGCAACACUAGUGGGCCAUUUUUGGUAAGCAGAACUGGCGAUGUGGGAUGAACCAUACGGGGGGUUAAGGUGCCGGAGUGGACGCUCAUCAGACACCACAAAAGGCGUUAGCACAUCUUGACAGCAGGACGGUGGCCAUGGAAGUCGGAAUCCGCUAAGGACUGUGUAACAACUCACCUGCCGAAUGUGCUAGCCCUGAAAAUGGAUGGCGCUCAAGCGUCCCACCCAUACCCCCCCCUCAGGGUAGAAACGAUGCCCUGAGGAGUAGGCGGCCGCAGCGCUGUGUGACGAAGGCUAGGGCGUGAGCCCGGCUCGAACCGGCGCUGGUGCAGAUCUUGGUGGUAGUAGCAAAUACUUCAAUGAGAACUUGAAGGACCGAAGUGGAGAAAGGUUCCACAUGAACAGCGGUUGGAUGUGGGUCAGUCGAUCCUAAGCCAUAGGGAAGUUCCGUUUCAAAGGGGCACUUGUGCCCCGUGUGGCGAAAGGGAAGCCGGUCAAUAUCCCGGCACCUGGAUGUGGGUUUUUCGCGGCAACGCAACCGAACGCGGAGACGGCGGCGGGGGCCCCGGGCAGAGUUCUCUUUUCUUCUUAACGGUCUCUCACCCUGGAAACAGUUUGUCUGGAGAUAGGGUUUAAUGGCCGGAAGAGCCCAGCACUUCUGCUGGGUCCGGCGCGCCCCCGACGUCCCUUGAAAAUCCGCGGGAGGGAAUAAUUCUCACGCUAGGUCGUACUCAUAACCGCAGCAGGUCUCCAAGGUG
rnacentral:rRNA from 1 species